AUUGAACGCUGGCGGCAUGCUCUACACAUGCAAGUCGAACGGUAACAGGCCGCAAGGUGCUGACGAGUGGCGAACGGGUGAGUAAUGCAUCGGAACGUGCCCAGUCGUGGGGGAUAACUACUCGAAAGAGUAGCUCAUACCGCAUACGAUCUAUGGAUGACAGCGGGGGACCGUAAGGCCUCGCGCGAUUGGAGCGGCCGAUGUCAGAUUAGGUAGUUGGUGGGGUAAAGGCUCACCAAGCCAACGAUCUGUAGCUGGUCUGAGAGGACGACCAGCCACACUGGGACUGAGACACGGCCCAGACUCCUACGGGAGGCAGCAGUGGGGAAUUUUGGACAAUGGGCGCAAGCCUGAUCCAGCAAUGCCGCGUGCAGGAAGAAGGCCUUCGGGUUGUAAACUGCUUUUGUACGGAACGAAACGGCUCUGGUUAAUACCCGGGGCUAAUGACGGUACCGUAAGAAUAAGCACCGGCUAACUACGUG
rnacentral:rRNA from 1 species